UGGGGAAUUUUGGACAAUGGGCGAAAGCCUGAUCCAGCAAUGCCGCGUGUGUGAAGAAGGCCUUCGGGUUGUAAAGCACUUUUGUCCGGAAAGAAAUCCUUGGCUCUAAUACAGUCGGGGGAUGACGGUACCGGAAGAAUAAGCACCGGCUAACUACGUGCCAGCAGCCGCGGUAAUACGUAGGGUGCAAGCGUUAAUCGGAAUUACUGGGCGUAAAGCGUGCGCAGGCGGUUUGCUAAGACCGAUGUGAAAUCCCCGGGCUCAACCUGGGAACUGCAUUGGUGACUGGGCAGGCUAGAGUAUGGCAGAGGGGGGUAGAAUUCCACGUGUGAGCAGUGAAAUGCGUAGAGAUGUGGAGGAAUACCGAUGGCGAAGGCGAGCCCCCUGGGCCAAUACUGACGCUCAUGCACGAAAGCGUGGGGGAGCAAACAGGAUUAGAU
rnacentral:rRNA from 1 species